UCCGCUUCUCACAGUCAGAUUAUACACAGCAGAGAAAAACCUGCAAAGCAAAUAUCCAUGUCUCUUCUGGUCCGAUGGGUUUGUCCUGUUCCCGGUUUUCUACGUUGAGUCGCGUCCAGACGCAGUUUUCUUUGAGAUGACAUAUGGAUUUGGUCACUUCAGGCAAUGUUGCGGCACUUCUGGUCUUCUUGUGGCCCAGACCAAAUGGAUGUGAGUCUGGUAAUGCUUGGUUGACUUGCGGUAUUGCUAUGGCUUACACUUGUGGCCCAGACCUGGCAAACAGGAGCGGACAGCCCAAGUGCCAUCAUUCCACACGGUAUGUGGGCCAGAUGACAGUGUGGACGUGUGGGACAAUUCUGGGCCGAAGCAAUUUGCUCUGUGGGAUUGUAUUGUAACCCCCCUUUUUUUUAUCUUAUACUCGUACCUAUAUUUUGUAUUGCUGUUUAUAUUGUCUAUAUGGUCUGAAUGUGUUUCUAUUAUUGGUUGGAGCGACUGUAACAAAAUUCAAUUUCCCCCUGUGGUUCAAUAAAAUAUUUGUGAUCCUGACCCACAUGGUGCAGCAUUGAAAUGGAAGUUUGGUAAUUGCAGACAAAUGGUAAAAGUGUUUUAAUGAUAAAUUAUAUAAAAGUUGCUGGGAAAAAAGUCAAAUGUAUCCCAUUUAGCUGGGAAAACACAUCAUGUUUCUCACAAAAUAGAAAAAGGACAAAACCCUGGUGUCCUCAUUGGUAAGCCAAGUCAAGUUUAUUUAAGAGAUGAUCAAAGUGCUGUGCAAUUAAAAACCAUAAGAGAAAUACAGAAAUACAAUAAAGCAAAAUCAAAUAAUAGGCAACAAAAACAAUUUAGGGACUUAAAAACCUGAGAAAACAUGUCAGUUAACCCUUAAAUACGUCUAUGAAAAGGGAACGCUCGAUCACCUUUACCCCUGGGUGUCGACCAAGGGACACCUUAGAGCAGCUGAGUAGAGCAUUGUGAUAGAGGGCCUGUUUAGAGGGACACUCGUUAUUGGAUUUCAAUCAAUGUUCCCUACGACAUGUGUCGUAUUCUUAGCUAUUAGACCCUCUGGUCUAUUCUGUUUUACAAACACAGGAAAAUCUAAAGGAGAAAACAUGCUACAGGUACGUUUAUGUUCUACAUUAAAAACAAAGACAUCUAAUGAUAACAAUAAUGAUAAUAGCACUAACUCUGUAGUCUACUACUAAAAUCUGCUGUAGGUUAGUGGCGCUGUGUAUGCUGAACAGGAAGGGGUAACAUCUUGGUGUCACAUUUGUUAAUGUCUGUCAUCUCUUUACUGCACAUUUGUGGGACAACUGAUAGUUAAGAAAUUUCCAACGGCAUAUGAAGGCAGCAUUUCUCUCAUUUUACCCAUGGGCCUCAGUACACAAGACUUUUUGAAGGGCAGCAGACUCACGGGUCACGAUGGAAAAAUCUUGACGAGACAAGAUAGUGAUAAGUCAACUGAUCAGUGAUGGUGAUGAACAUCCAGCAAAUCCACAGGAAUACAGAAAACACAAAAUCAACCUCCGUCAGGAACACAAUUUAUGAUCCAUCCCCUCUUCUAUUUUCUGUAGUCUCUGGGUUUACAAUCUGCAGGGGAGAUGAUGAAUAAGUCGACCAGCAUCUCAAUUCACACCUACAAAUAACCAUCUAAUGGCUUGUGGGUAGGGAAACCUGCAAUAAAACAACAUCAGCCAUCGUUUAUUGCACUGUGCAGACCUGUGGGGGCUGACAUUUAUCUGAAAACCUGUUAAAUUUUGUCUGUUUUUUGAUGUCUCGUUUCAUUUGCGCACACCCACCACUGGGAGUGUUGGCCUUCUACCAUGCUCAUGAGGAGCUAUUCAAUUUGAUCAAAGCCCACUAGAUGGCAGCACCAAAUAACAACGGAGCCUGGGUCUUCCUCCAGGCAAAGAAAGAAAUUCAGCUCAGACUGGUUUGAGUCGGACUCUGUGACAUUUCUCACUUAAUAAAACAAAAGCUGAAAUGAUUUGUUAGGAUUUCGGAUCGUCUUCUAAGUGAGGAGCGUACUGUGGGCUAACAUGCACUCAAACCCACAGAGUCCACCGUGAAGUACCUGAGCAUUAGCUGUAUCUUGAUUUGGUUGCUCAUUGAAGGAGAUUUGCAUCUGUGGAGCAUGAUUUUCUUGCCACAACAAAUCUUUAGCUGAAAGGGGCCGUCACUUCCUGAGAGGACGGCAUGAACUUUGCACAGAGAAGCAGUGCUGACGGUGACUGCAGUGAUCAGGUUACAUUGUUUUACACCGGCACUGGAGAUACGUUUCACCCAUAGACUCCACACCCUUAAACUCCACACUCAAAAUGUGUUUGCUGAAGAUAACCACAUCAGCAUACAGAUUAAUUUGUCUUGCUAAGUUUAGGUAAACAUAAGAACAUAGCCUACCUGUUCUUAUGUCAACAGUCAUGGGUUGUUUGCUGUCAAACAUGACUUUUGGUGUAUGAUUUUAUUUAGAAUUCAACACCCAGGAAUGUAAUCCUUCCUGUCGUUGUUGCUGAGUUUGCUGUAUGUUCAGGCACACCCUUAUGCAACUAUGCUCUAUGUGCUUUUCUCUUUACAGAGCAGACUGCUGCAUUUCUGCCUUCCUAUUCUGACAAAGACAGGGCUAUUAUAAGUAAUGGAUCCUUGUUGCAGGUUAGUGUGAGUUCAUAGUAAACUUAUCAGUCAUAGUAAGUGAUAACAUAAAAUUGUAAACAUGAAACACACACACGGUAAAAGUUGUCCUGGCCCCACUGCCUACUAAACAAAAUCUGUAAUUAUAUAUUAAAUUCAUUUGAAUGUCACAUUUGUUUACAUUGACUGCAAGUUCUUGAAUAUCAACAGUGUGUUGAGCACAGUGAAAUAAACCCUCUGAAAUACC